rnacentral:misc_RNA from 1 species
AGUCGUAACAAGGUUUCCGUAGGUGAACCUGCGGAAGGAUCAUUAACACUGAUCUUACCCCUUUAUUAUAUCUUUACACACUCUUGCGAACUUGUCCCCCUCUUUAUUUUUUGCCUUCUUUUUUUCUUUAAGAGAGGAAAUAAAAAAAAAAAUGGGAGAGAGAGAGGAACCAUUUAUUUGGACCUUUGUUUUUCUUUUUUUUUUCUUCUUCUUCUUCUUUUUAAGAAAAAGGAAAUCUUUUUUUUAACCCCAUUAACCUUUUUUUAAAAAUAAACCAAAAAAAAUUAAAUCAAAUUGAAAAAUUAAACAAAAAAACAACUCUUAACAAUGGAUAUCUUGGUUCUCGC